GACGGACUGUGCAAACGUUAUUCGGAAUCACUGGGCUUGAAGAGUGCGUAGGCGGUUUUGUAAGUAGGGUGUGAGAGUCCUCGGCUCAACCGGGGGAUUGCGCCCUAAACUGCAAGGCUGGAGUGAGGUAGGGGUGUGUGGAACUUCUAGUGGAGCGGUGAAAUGUGUUGAUAUUAGAAGGAACGCCGGUGGCGAAAGCGACACACUGGACCUUGUCUGACGCUGAGGCACGAAAGCCAGGGGAGCAAACGGG
rnacentral:rRNA from 1 species